rnacentral:rRNA from 1 species
AGAGUUUGAUCCUGGCUCAGAUUGAACGCUGGCGGUAUGCUUAACACAUGCAAGUCGAACGGAAACGAUGGAAGCUUGCUUCCAGGCGUCGAGUGGCGGACGGGUGAGUAACGCGUAGGAAUCUGCCUGAUAGUGGGGGAUAGCCCGGAGAAAUUCGGAUUAAUACCGCAUAAUCUCUACGGAGUAAAGGAGGCCUCUAUUUAUAUGCUUUCGCUAUCAGAUGAGCCUGCGUAAGAUUAGCUAGUUGGUGAGGUAAAGGCUCACCAAGGCGACGAUCUUUAGCUGGUCUGAGAGGAUGAUCAGCCACACUGGGACUGAGACACGGCCCAGACUCCUACGGGAGGCAGCAGUGGGGAAUAUUGGACAAUGGGCGCAAGCCUGAUCCAGCAAUACCGCGUGUGUGAAGAAGGCCUGAGGGUUGUAAAGCACUUUCAAUUGUGAAGAAAAGCUAAAGGUUAAUA